rnacentral:rRNA from 1 species
GACGAACGCUGGCGGCGUGCUUAACACAUGCAAGUCGAACGGUAAGGCCCUCCGGGGUACACGAGUGGCGAACGGGUGAGUAACACGUGGGUGAUCUGCCCUGCACUUCGGGAUAAGCCUGGGAAACUGGGUCUAAUACCGGAUAGGACUCCGGACUGCAUGGUCUGGGGUGGAAAGCUUUUGCGGUGUGGGAUGGGCCCGCGGCCUAUCAGCUUGUUGGUGGGGUGAUGGCCUGUCAGGGCGACGACGGGUAGCCGGCCUGGGAGGGUGACCGGCCACACUGGGACUGAGAUACGGCCCAGACUCCUACGGGAGGCAGCAGUGGGGAAUAUUGCACAAUGGGCGCAAGCCUGAUGCAGCGACGCCGCGUGAGGGAUGACGGCCUUCGGGUUGUAAACCUCUUUCAGCAUCGACGAAGCGAAAGUGACGGUAGGUGCAGAAGAAGGACCGGCCAACUACGUGCCAGCAGCCGCGGUAA